CAAAACUUUCAACAACGGAUCUCUUGGUUCUGGCAUCGAUGAAGAACGCAGCGAAAUGCGAUACGUAAUGUGAAUUGCAGACACCGUGAAUCAUCGAAUCUUUGAACGCACAUUGCGCCCUUUGGUAUUCCGAAGGGCAUGCCUGUUCGAGCGUCAUU
rnacentral:rRNA from 1 species